rnacentral:sRNA from 1 species
CAUUCUCUCUAGUAAUCCUAACUCCCUAUCUAUUGGUUUGAAGAUCAGAGACCGCCUGAGGAUUCCUUGAGGCGAGAUCUUCAUUUCUAACCGAUUGGUUUCAACUAUAGAUGGUACUAUGGUAUAUUCUGAUCAAAUUAUCACGAAAUGUAGUAGCAAGUAGAGAUCUUGGAGCCAUAGGAGGAAUUUUAGAGUUUUUAGCACCAUCAGAGCGUCAACCAGUGUGAGGAGAGGAUGUUGUAAGUGUUAGCCCGUCGUUGAUAGAGCCAGAGGAUACCGUCAAGUGAUAUUCAAAGUUUAGCAUAUAAAUAUAUGUAUAAAG